UACGUAGGGUGCAAGCGUUGUCCGGAAUUAUUGGGCGUAAAGAGCUCGUAGGCGGUCUGUCGCGUCGGCUGUGAAAACUCGGGGCUCAACCCCGAGCCUGCAGUCGAUACGGGCAGACUAGAGUGCUGUAGGGGAGACUGGAAUUCCUGGUGUAGCGGUGAAAUGCGCAGAUAUCAGGAGGAACACCAGUGGCGAAGGCGGCUCACUGGCCCGGUACUGACGCUGAGGCGCGAAAGCGUGGGGAGCAAACAGG
rnacentral:rRNA from 1 species